CGGGGCGUAGCGCAGUCCGGCUAGCGCGCUUGCUUUGGGAGCAAGAGGCCCCGGGUUCAAAUCCCGGCGCCCCGACAA
rnacentral:tRNA from 2 species